CCUACGGGUGACAGCAGUGAGGAAUAUUGGUCAAUGGGCUUACGCCUGAACCAGCCAAGUCGCGUGAGGGAAGACUGCCCUAUGGGUUGUAAACCUCUUUUGUCAGGGAGCAAUACGCUCUACGUGUAGCGUUCUCGAGAGUCCCUGCAGAUAAAGCCUCGGCUAACUCCGUGCCAGCAGCCGCAGUAAUACGGAGGAUGCGAGCGUUAUCCGGAUUUAUUGGGUUUAAAGGGUGCGUAGGCGGAAUGCCAAGUCAGCGGUAAAAUCGCGGGGCUCAACCUCGUUCCGCGGUUGAAACUGGAGGUCUUGAGUGGGCGAGAAGCAGGCGGAAUGCGUGGUGUAGCGGUGAAAUGCAUAGAUAUCACGCAGAACCCCGAUUGCGAAGGCAGCAUACCGGCGUGCAACUGACGCUGAAGCUCGAAAGCGCGGGUAUCGAACAGGAUUAGAUACCCCUGUAGUC
rnacentral:rRNA from 1 species